UGAGAUUCUAAGUGUGGCAAAGAAUGUAGUGGUUUCACAAAGAAGUUUAUUAUUUUUUAUUUUUUUAUGCUGUGUACAAAAGUUUUACCAGAAAUCUUGCUCUGAUAUAUACGUAUGACACCAUGUCUGAAAAGAAAUAUUUUCCAGAUGGUACUUUGGGAGGUCAUUCUUUAAUUUUCCAAGCUGUAUUCAUAAUAUUUGGGAAAAACCAGGAUGAACCGUAAGAAAAAGGUAAGUUAACAAAAAUAAUGCUUUUAUUAUUAUUAUUUCAAUUUUAUUAUUUGUUGUAAGUCAGUUAAAUAUUUGCAUAGACUUGAAAUU